rnacentral:rRNA from 1 species
GCCUAUGACCAUAUCACCCUGAAUGCGCCCGAUCUCGUCUGAUCUCGGAAGCUAAGCAUGGUCGAGCCUGAUUAGUACUUGGAUGGGAGACUACCUGUGAAUACCAGGUGUUGUAGGCU